ACAUUAUUAAGCAUUAAAGGUUUCACGAGGACUUGAUUCCGAAGUACUCCUACCCACGUGUAUUGCAAAUAAUAAAAAAUAAAGCUGAAAGCUAAAACCUACGGCAAGUUGGUUUUGCUUUGGAGCCCCAAAUGUUGAUCACCCUUUUGGCAGUUUUCUACUACAUCGAAAUGAAGAAGAUAUUGAUAUUGAUUGCAAGAGAUAGAUUUACUGAAGAAUUUGAACCACAAAAAUAUUGUGAAAUAUCUUGGAUCCUUAAAGACUAAGAGUCACCUCCACAUAAUUCUUGAAUAUGUGGAAAAUGGCUCACUAGCAAACAUUAUCAAGCCAAAUAAAUUUGGACCCUUUCCAGAAUCACUGGUUGCGGUUUACAUUUCACAGGUUUUGGAAGGCUUGGUAUAUCUACACGAACAGGGUGUAAUUCAUCGGGACAUCAAGGGUGCUAAUAUAUUAACAACUAAAGAGG